UACGUAGGGGGGCUAGCGUUGUCCGGAUUUAUUGGGCGUAAAGAGCGUGUAGGCGGCCCAGGUAGGGUCUGCUGUGAAAACUCGAGGCUCAACCCUCGAGACGUCGGCGGAAACCAUCUGGCUAGAGUCCGGAAGAGGAGAGUGGAAUUCCUGGUGUAGCGGUGAAAUGCGCAGAUAUCAGGAAGAACACCCGUGGCGGAAGGCGGCUCUCUGGGACGGUAC
rnacentral:rRNA from 1 species